GAUGAAUGCUGGCGGCGUGCCUAACACAUGCAAGUCGAGCGGUAACAGAUCUAGCUUGCUAGAUGCUGACGAGCGGCGGACGGCUGAGUAACGCGUGGGAACAUACCCCAAAGUGAGGGAUAACCGCCCGAAAGGGUGGCUAAUACCGCAUAUGGUCUUCGGAUUAAAGGAUUUAUCCGCUUUGGGAAUGGCCUGCGUACGAUUAGAUAGUUGGUGAGGUAAUGGCUUACCAAGUCUACGAUCGUUAACUGGUUUGAGAGGAUGAUCAGUCAGACUGGAACUGAGACACGAUCCAGACUCCUACGGGAGGCAGCAGUGAGGAAUCUUCCACAAUGGGCGAAAGCCUGAUGGAGCAACGCCGCGUGCAGGAUGAAGGCCUUCGGGUUGCAAACUGCUUUUAUAAGUGAAGAAUAUGACGGUAACUUAUGAAUAAGCACCGGCUAACUACGUGCCAGCCGCCGCCGUA
rnacentral:rRNA from 1 species